rnacentral:rRNA from 1 species
UACAGAGGUCUCAAGCGUUGUUCGGAUUCAUUGGGCGUAAAGGGUGCGUAGGUGGCGCGGUAAGUCGGGUGUGAAAUUUCGGAGCUUAACUCCGAAACUGCAUUCGAUACUGCGGUGCUUGAGGACUGGAGAGGAGACUGGAAUUCUUGGUGUAGCGGUGAAAUGCGUAGAUAUCAAGAGGAACACCUGCGGCGAAGGCGGGUUGCUGGCCGACACUGACGCUGGAGGCGCGGAAAGCCUAGGGAGCGAACGGG